rnacentral:lncRNA from 1 species
CUCCCUCCCUUACGAGGCAGCGGCAUCGUCCUCCCCCCUUCUCCGCCACCUCCUCCUCCGGCGCGCAGCCCGCGACUCUGGCAUCCCCAACGCACUUUCUCUCCUCGAUCCGCUCGCUCUCUUCCCCCCGCCGCUCCUCCUUCUCCAGUAAAAAAUAAAUGAGAAGGGACGGCGGGUAUGCCUGGUCUUUUUUUCUCUUUCUUUCUUUUUUUUUUUUCUCUCUCUGUCCUCUGGAGUUGGUGAGAGGAUCACAUGAGGAGCAGGCACAGAGAACCAGGACCCUCAGAAGUCGGAGGAGGCAUCGGACACAUAUAUGAAAUGCAAGUGGAGGAGAAGUUCCUCCCCUCCAUUUUCAUUACUUGCAGCAGAUGACGUCAGUCUUCUACGACCUGUGCUAUGCAGGUUGAGGCUUCGUGUCUUCCCCACAGAGAAGGUGGCACAGCACGGAAAGAGGAAGAUAUGGUGUGUGGCACUUCUACAAAUCAACCUGCUAUGUGUUCAGAGCCUGGUCCAAGCCUUGGGUGCCCAGGAAACUCUUGAUCCAUCCUUGUGGACUUGCCAAAUGAGUCACUCUCGCCUGGUACAGAUAAAUAGGGUCUCCCUGUCUUCAUCAUCUCAGAGUCUCAUGUUGCCAUGUCGCAUGCAUGUGGCAAUUGUUGCCGCUUUUGAAGACUCCUGA